rnacentral:rRNA from 1 species
GAUGAACGCUGGCGGCAUGCCUAAUACAUGCAAGUCGAACGAGCUCUUCGGAGCUAGUGGCGGACGGGUGAGUAACACGUUGGUACCUACCCCGAAGUGGGGAAUAACUGCCCGAAAGGGUGGCUAAUACCGCAUAAUACCGUAAGGUUAAAGCAGUAAUGCGCUUCGGGAGGGGCCUGCGUCCCAUUAGCUAGUUGGCGGGGUAAAUGCCCACCAAGGCGACGAUGGGUAGCUGGAUCGAGAGGUUGACCAGCCACACUGGGACUGAGAUACGGCCCAGACUCCUACGGGAGGCAGCAGUAAGGAAUCUUCCACAAUGGACGAAAGUCUGAUGGAGCAAUGCCGCGUGCAGGAUGACGGCCUUCGGGUUGUAAACUGCUUUUAUAUGGGAAGAUUAUGACGGUACCAUAUGAAUAAGGACCGGCUAACUACGUGCCAGCCGCCGCUGUAAUAC